AACGUAGGAGACAAACGUUAUCCGGAGUUACUGGGCGUAAAGGGCGUGUAGGUGGUAGUGUAAGUCUGGCGUGAAAUUUUUCGGCUUAACCGGGAAAGGUCGUCGGAUACUGCACAACUAGAGGACGGUAGAGGCGUGUGGAAUUCCGGGUGUAGUGGUGAAAUGCGUAGAGAUCCGGAGGAACACCAGUGGCGAAGGCGACACGCUGGGCCGUACCUGACACUGAGGCGCGAUAGCAUGUGGAGCAAACAGG
rnacentral:rRNA from 1 species